GGGGCACCUGAUCCAUUCAUGCCGCGUGAGUGAAGAAGGCCUUCGGGUUGUAAAGCUCUUUUGUCAGGGAAGAAACAGCAGCUCUAACACAGUCUGCGAAUGACGGUACCUGAAGAAUAAGCACCGGCUAACUACGUGCCAGCAGCCGCGGUAAUACGUAGGGUGCGAGCGUUAAUCGGAAUUACUGGGCGUAAAGCGUGCGCAGGCGGUUAUACAAGACAGGCGUGAAAUCCCCGGGCUUAACCUGGGAAUGGCGUCUGUGACUGUAUAGCUAGAGUGUGUCAGAGGGGGGUGGAAUUCCACGUGUAGCAGUGAAAUGCGCAGAUAUGUGGAGGAACACCAAUGGCGAAGGCAGCCCCCUGGGAUAACACUGACGCUCAUGCACGAAAGCGUGGGGAGCAAACAGGAUUAGAUACCCUGGUAGUCCACGCCCUAAACGAUGCUGACUAGUUGUUGUGAAUCUACAUUCUCAGUAACGUAGCUAACGCGUGAAGUCAGCCGCCUGGGGAGUACGGUCGCAAGAUUAAAACUCAAAGGAAUUGACGGGGACCCGCACAAGCGGUGGAUGAUGUGGAUUAAUUCGAUGCAACGCGAAAAACCUUACCUACCCUUGACAUGUCACUAACGAAGUAGAG
rnacentral:rRNA from 1 species